GUGGUCUGGGGAGAGGCUCCUGUGUUGUUGAACCUGCCCAGUUGUGGGUGCAACCUUGUACCAGGCAGCCCGACCCUGACCUAAAGUAAAUUCCUAGGAGAACUGUUUUCCUGGGUUUUGACUUUGCAGUAACAGGUGUGAACAUUCUAGCAGCAAUUUGAUGAUCAUGUAUGAUACUGCAAACAGAA
ensembl:scaRNA SCARNA16 small Cajal body-specific RNA 16